AGUAGAGUGACUGAGAAGUAGGUGAAAGAUUGUAAAUCUUUUAAGGAGUCAACAAACUCUUCUACUA
rnacentral:tRNA from 2 species